rnacentral:rRNA from 1 species
AGUUCGGAUCGCAGGCUGCAACCCGCCUGCGCGAAGUUGGAAUCGCUAGUAAUCGCGGAUCAGCAUGCCGCGGUGAAUACGUUCCCGGGCCUUGUACACACCGCCCGUCACACCAUGAGAGUCGGGAACACCCGAAGUCCGUAGCCUAACAGCAAUGGGGGCGCGGCCGAAGGUGGGUUCGAUAAUUGGGGUGAAGUCGUAACAAGGUAGC